AUUCUCCGCCCUGCAGGCUGCGCUCGCCGUGUCUGUUUCGGUCUCGGGGCCGUCACCCCUUUCGCGUACAGAUAGGCCACUGGUCGCACGCAGCGCGCACGAGCCCUAGUCGGGCCUCGGAGCCUGACGGACCGGACGCCGAGGACCCAGCGGAAGGACGGCGGAGCGCCCCGCGGCUCGGGCGGGCGGGACUGCGAUGGGACACGGAGCUGGCGCGCGCGAGGAGCGGAUUCCCUAGAAACUGGAUUGCGCUGUGAGGAAUUCCAUCUUCUCCACUGAACACAGUUUUGAUGGGCAGACAGAUGGAGGUCCCUGCCACCUGCACGGAACCUGGAGGGCACAGAGCCUUCCAGCUGUGAGCCGAUACAGCUGCAAGAUGGGUCUGGGGCCUGUGCCGAGUCAAGUGAGAAGAUUCUUCGGCUGCCGCCUCAUGAGGGAGUGAAGGUGGCUCCUCACAGCCCUAGCCAGGCACUCGGCAGUCGCCUGCAGGUCUACUGUGGUUCCUACCCAGUGAUUCUGUGGGCCUGUAAUAUCUUUCCAAUACCUACUUCCUUCCUCUUGAAUUAGCCAUUCCAUUCAUUUUCUUAAGUGGCAAGAAAAAUAGAUAUUCACAGUAGAUAACAAUAGAAUAACAGAAAUGCGAUCCACUGGAGUUAGAGUUCUCUCCCUAGGAAAACCACUGUUAAGUAUGAUAUGUAUCAAAUUGACACAUAUUACAAACCUUUUUCUAGCCAUAUACAGAGAGAGAGGAACUAGAUUUCUAGAGAAAUUGGGGUUAGGGAGAUGGGAUUAUUAUUCAAAAAAGGGACCAUAUGAAAUAUACACUAACAUACUUUUCCACUCAAUGACCUAGGAUAAACAUCCUUGUCAGCGCAUAGAGAGCUGUGUCAUUCCUUUUAAUGGCUGCAUAGAAUUCCACCGGGUGGAUAACCAGUUUCAUAAAAUAGUCUGACUUGAAAAAGCUACUCUAAUAAAAGACUGAGGAGCAGGCCAUCCCUAGGAGGGCCCUGGGAGGCUCAGCCAGUGAACAGCCACCCCUGGUACCCACAUUGGAAAGAAGGCUAUUCGCAUAUGUGGUAUGUGUGCAUCCCCACAAGGAUACAGAAUAUUCUAUAAAACCAAAGCCAACCAUUCGAAAGGACACUAGAUGAGGGCUGAACCCAUAGUCCUGUCUCUUGAAAACACAACACGGUCCUGGUUGCCAUAUUAUGGAAAGAGCACAAGGAGGGAAAGCGAAGACUGAGGUUCGUGCCAAGUGCUACUAGCAGCCUGACCCUGGAGACAAGUACCACUGCUCCGCCUACCUUGGUUCCUGCCACUUGAACCCCCUCCACCUUCUGCUGCUAAGUGAACCUUCCGUGAAGAUGUUUUCAUCCCUCACCUGCGCAAAAGUUCAAGUUCCUUACUGCUUCCACAUCAAGCCUUCACUCCUCUGGGCGGAUUUCGUCUCCAAACUUGUUUGCUGUUAUUCCCAAUGUAGAUUUCUUUCCUGUUGCGCUUAUUUUUAUGCUGCAAUUUUCCUCAUAUUUCCCUUUCCCCACCCUCCAGAAUGUUCUCUCCUUCAUGACACAUGGUUAGAUUCUAGAGCCAGAAAAACCUAGAUUCCAAUCCCAGCUCCAUCAUCUCUAGCUCAGGGUUUUGGGGUGGUUUUCUUUUUUCUUUUUUUUUUGGGGGGGUGGUUUUCUGACAUUCACCAAUCUGGACUUGACAUUACACUGUGACGUAGGCAUACGAAUGCAUCACCAUCACGACAGAAGUGCUGUGAAAAAGCAUGCUCAUACUGCCCAGUUCAAAGACCACACUUCAUAUGAGUUCCUUUCCCAAAGACCAAUUUUUCCAGACCUGACUCAGGCUCUACCCAACAUCUCACUUCUACCACAAAACUGUCAAACGUUUCAGCCUUCAUGUAUCGCUUGUCUGAAUACCGACAUCAUGUUAGGUGACGCCUGUCCUAGCACCUCGUCACAGGCUGCCUUAAUGGCUGCUUCCUGAUUACUUUACCUCUCUCAAUGUAUCUGUUAUCUACAGGUUCCUUAAUGAUCAGGGCCAACUCCCUGCAUAUGGAAAUCAUUCAAUCAGUACUUUAUGAUCAAUCAAUUGGUUGAUUAUGGCAAUUAUGGUACAAACAGCUCAGAGAAACAUCCAAAAGAAGACCUGGUGACUCCCGUGUGUGCUCUUCCUUCUCCCCACUCUCCCUUUUUUACUUUUCCCUCUACACCUACCUUAGGUUUCCCUCCUCUGCUUGUCCCCUACCUGCCCCAGACCUGUUGGUAGUACUUGUGGAUACAACUUAGCCCAAAGGGUAGCACUCAGGGUUAAAGUACGGAGCCCCACUGAAGCCCACUCCCUGCCCUGAGCUUACCUGUGAAAAGUUCAGGGGCCAUAUGGAUUGGCGUCCCCACAAUGCUGCCUGACAUCAUGGCCUCUGGCUUGCAGAAUCCCAAGUCGGUGAUCUUGGCACGGUUCUGCUUGUCCAGCUGCCAACAAAGCAGGGUGAGUCAACCUGCAUCUGAUCCUACACACAGCACUCAGUUGCAUACACAAGCUCAGAAGCAGGCCUCCCUGUCUCCGGAUUCAUUCCCACUACCUAUCUUCUCCCCAGACUGUAAGCAACCUGAUGGCAGGGGCUGUCUUUUUCAUCUUUGUAUACCUCACACUUAGCGUAGUGCCUGGCACAUCACAGAAGCUUAGUAAGUCUUGGAAGAAUGAAUGUGAAGGACAUAGAGGAAAGAAUUUCAGUUCCUGAUUAUUCUCCUCUGAC